rnacentral:rRNA from 1 species
CCUACGGGAGGCAGCAGUGGGGAAUAUUGGACAAUGGGGGGAACCCUGAUCCAGCCAUGCCGCGUGUGUGAAGAAGGCCCUCGGGUUGUAAAGCACUUUCAGUGAGGAAGAACGCCUGGUGGUUAAUACCCAUCAGGAAAGACAUCACUCACAGAAGAAGCACCGGCUAACUCCGUGCCAGCAGCCGCGGUAAUACGGAGGGUGCGAGCGUUACUCGGAAUUACUGGGCGUAAAGCGCGCGUAGGUGGCUUGAUAAGCCGGUUGUGAAAGCCCCGGGCUCAACCUGGGAACGGCAUCCGGAACUGUCAAGCUAGAGUGCAGGAGAGGAAGGUGGAAUUCCCGGUGUAGCGGUGAAAUGCGUAGAGAUCGGGAGGAAUACCAGUGGCGAAGGCGGCCUUCUGGACUGACACUGACACUGAGGUGCGAAAGCGUGGGUAGCAAACAGGAUUAGAUACCCUGGUAGUC